GGAAAAAGUGGAAAAUACAUGCAAUACACACAACACUGCAUUUUCCAACUCCAAAGCACUUGAAAUGAAUCAUCACAGACCACCCACCAUCUUUCAGAUGCUUAGCUUAAACUCAAAAGUGUGGAAGUGUUCUUAAUAGCUUCAAGGUUAAUACUUUUCAAAUCCUGGGUCAGACUACCCUAGGGAGAAAGCAAAAGACACCCUAGUGACCUGGAAAUCCCACAGCCCCCAGGUGGCCUCUUUGCUGCUCCUCCACAUUCCACACAUUUCCCAGUCCGGCACCGUCUGACUCCACUGAAAGGGGGAGAGCCUCAAAACUGGAACUCAUGCAUAGACGCUCAUAUACAUGGGUAAUCGCAGAAGAAAACAUAGAAAAUGAUUGUCAUCAUUCUUGGGAAAGGUGAAUUAAAAUGCUAACACAGUUGAUAAUUUGCACUGGAAGAGAGGUUGCUGAGGCCGCCUGUACGUCUUUCUUUCACAGUCCCAUCCAGGAACACGAGCUGCUGCCCUCGGGAAGAAUCCAACAGCGGAAGUCCCAGCGAGCCAAGCUCCUGUGCGCGCAAUAAUCUACAUGGAAAUGGGAGCUGAUUGCAUCAUUAUUAAUUUUACAAGACAUAGGCUCAGUGGGCCCACCUGUUUCCUCAACUUCUUGUUUCCUGUGGGCAGGUGGCACCCUGGAGUCGGUCAGGGUGAGAUGGGAAUAAAACGGUGGAGAGAACCGCUGGAUGCCGGAACUGCUCAGGCUUCAGGCCCAGGCUGUACCCUGCCCACACCAUCCAGGUGGUUCCCAUCGGAAGCCGGGCAGGGCUGCAGCACAUCUGUCCCUACCUAUGAGUGUGUUUUCAGGCCUCCACUUCGGCUGGUUCUGAUUUAUGCCUAGCUCACUCCAGGCUCCCCAGAAGUGAACUUUGGUGAACUUGGUACACGUUCAUAACUUCAAACCUGAAAUUCCUGAAGUUUUGUCUGGGAUUCAAUUGGAAAAUGCAGAUGUAUCUUUCCAAGGUACAUGCUCCCAGCUAUGCUUAGUCAUCUGGCCCCAAUAUCUGUCAUGUGUAAUGCUAUGUGUUCCUGACUAACCAGCCGUGAUGUGAACGAACUGGAACUUAAGGACCAGCACCCUGAGAUGGGAUGCUUGUAGAACACCCCAGACUUCAAAGCGUGCACCGUAAAGGAAUUUCCAGGUAGAAGAAGAUUCUGUGGCACUGGUCCUUGGCCACAGCAUGGGUUAGUUGUUUGGAACAUUCUUCUAUCUCCAGUCUUCUACCUCCUUUCCAGCCCAUCCUACCAAAAGCGAGAUGCAAAGUCAGCCAAACUGAACACUGAGCAUCCUUUGUUCAUCUCCGAGUCCCAAAC
rnacentral:lncRNA from 1 species